UGGGGAAUAUUGCACAAUGGGCGCAAGCCUGAUGCAGCGACGCCGCGUGAGGGAUGGAGGCCUUCGGGUUGUAAACCUCUUUCGCCAGUGAAGCAGGCCAUCUUCUUUGUGGGGUGGUUGACGGUAGCUGGAUAAGAAGCGCCGGCUAACUACGUGCCAGCAGCCGCGGUAAUACGUAGGGCGCGAGCGUUGUCCGGAAUUAUUGGGCGUAAAGAGCUCGUAGGCGGCUGGUCGCGUCUGUCGUGAAAUCCCCUGGCUUAACUGGGGGCUUGCGGUGGGUACGGGCCGGCUUGAGUGCGGUAGGGGAGACUGGAAUUCCUGGUGUGGCGGUGGAAUGCGCAGAUAUCAGGAGGAACGCCGGUGGCGAAGGCGGGUCUCUGGGCCGUUACUGACGCUGAGGAGCGAAAGCGUGGGGAGCGAACAGG
rnacentral:rRNA from 1 species